rnacentral:piRNA from 1 species
UCAGUUCAGAUGAGCCACACUCCA